CGCCCAGGGAGCGUCGGCCAAGUGCCACGCCGCGCCGCGGCCGCACAGGCGCUCCGCGCGCGCCCCGGUCCCCCUGGAGACGCGGUGCGGCUACGUCGGAAGCUCAGCUCAACCCGAGCCGGACGACCGGGCUUCUCGGGCGAGAGUCUUCCGCCCGGGGCCCCGCGGAGCCUGGAGGCGCCGAAGCAAUGCGGCCGGCUCCCCAGCUCUGCGCCGGGACGCGUGGCGCCCGGCUCCCCGCCCGCCGCGGGCUACGCCACUCCCACCUCUACACACGCGACCCCCGCCGCGCGCAGCACGCGCGCGCAGGGCCGGCCGCCGCUCCGGCUGAGUCAACACCCGACUGUGGAAGCUGGCGGCGUAGCCGCUCGGGAGCAAGCCCGCCUCGCCUCGCCUCGCCUCGCCGCGCGCACCCCUAGCGGCCCCCGAAGAAGGCGGCCAACCUUGCCCGCUGCCUUUGGGGCGCCCAGCUGGGUGCCCUCGGGCGCUCCCACGACCUUGGGAAGGAAGACGCGCGGCUCGGCUCUCUCCUCUCUCUUACCCCCUCUUCUCUCUUUCCCCUUCCUUUUUCUUUUUCCUGCCUUUUCUUUUUCUCUUUCUUUAUAACUUCUGUGCCCCGCCCCGACCCCUAGAGAUGAGCCUGCCCUUUCCAACCUUUCCCUUUCCAACCUUUCCAGAGGAAAUUAUUAUCUGCUCUCGAGGCACUAAUCAAGUGACAGCUGCUCUGCCCGAGCUCCCCAUCCCCAUUCCUCCGCGCCCCCCACCCACCAACAAUGCCUUGGGAAACCCUGCUGCCAGUCUAGGCUGCUCAGUGUGACCUUGAUCGUCGCGAAGUGCUCGACAAAUGUCCUCACCUGUCUCCCAGGAAGAUGCGAAGGGAAGAUCACCUUGGGGGCUGUUCAGGAGGUCCCGAGGAGAGGUUGGCUUCUCAGCCUGGUUCAGGACUUGGUGACAUCAUCAAAGACCAAGGCACCUGUGACCCUGCAGUCCUCAUCAUGGUGGCUUUUCUUCCAAUGUUUGGAGCCUCACAGUCACAACAUGGCUGCUGUAUCCACCACAUCGCCUGCUAACACCACUCCAAAGCAGGAAAGGAAAGAAGAGGAUAAAGGGCCUCUCUCUUAUCAAACUUUCUCCAAAGCCCGCAGCAAGAAGGCUCUCCCUUACACCUCACAGGCCAGACUGGGACACGUGACCACCUUUAAAUAGUCCUUGACCAAGAGCGAGGUUGUAACC
ensembl:lncRNA